GGAUAGCUCAGCUGGUUAGAGUGUGGUGUUGAUAACGCCAAGGUUGCAGGUUCGAUCCCCGUAUGGGACA